UACGUAGGGGGGCGAGCGUUGUCCGGAUUUAUUGGGCGUAAAGAGCGUGUAGGCGGCCAGGUAGGUCCGUUGUGAAAACUCGAGGCUCAACCUCGAGACGUCGGCGGAAACCCUCUGGCUAGAGUCCGGAAGAGGAGAGUGGAAUUCCUGGGUGUAGCGGUGAAAUGCGCAGAUAUCAGGAAGAACACCCGUGGCGAAGGCGGCUCUCUGGGACGGUACUGACGCUGAGACGCGAAAGCGUGGGGAGCAAACAGG
rnacentral:rRNA from 1 species